rnacentral:rRNA from 1 species
CGCCCGCCGCGCGCGGCGGGCCUACGGGAGGCAGCAGUGGGGAAUAUGCACAAUGGGCGCAAGCCUGAUGCAGCCAUGCCGCGUGUAUGAAGAAGGCCUUCGGGUUGUAAAGUACUUUCAGCGGGGAGGAAGGCGUUGAGGUUAAUAACCUCAGCGAUUGACGUUACCCGCAGAAGAAGCACCGGCUAACUCCGUGCCAGCAGCCGCGGUAAUA